rnacentral:rRNA from 1 species
UGGGGGAUAUUGCACAAUGGGUGAAAGCCUGAUGCAGCGACGCCGCGUGGGGGAUGAAGGCCUUCGGGUUGUAAACUUCUUUUGCUCUGAACAAGGCAUGCUAAUGGGUGUGUUGAGUGUAGGGGUUGAUUAGCGCCGGCUAACUACGUGCCAGCAGCCGCGGUAAUACGUAGGGCGCGAGCGUUGUCCGGAAUUAUUGGGCGUAAAGGGCUUGUAGGUGGCUGGUUGCGUCUGUCGUGAAAGCUCAUGGCUUAACUGUGGGUUUGCGGUGGGUACGGGCUGGCUUGAGUGCAGUAGGGGAGGCUGGAAUUCCUGGUGUAGCGGUGGAAUGCGCAGAUAUCAGGAGGAAUACCGGUGGCGAAGGCGGGUCUCUGGGCUGUUACUGACACUGAGGAGCGAAAGCAUGGGGAGCGAACAGG